CCAGACUCCUACGGGAGGCAGCAGUGGGGAAUAUUGCACAAUGGGGGAAACCCUGAUGCAGCGACGCCGCGUGAAGGAAGAAGUAUUUCGGUAUGUAAACUUCUAUCAGCAGGGAAGAAAAUGACGGUACCUGACUAAGAAGCCCCGGCUAACUACGUGCCAGCAGCCGCGGUAAUACGUAGGGGGCAAGCGUUAUCCGGAUUUACUGGGUGUAAAGGGGGCGCAGGCGGCGAUGCAAGCCAGGAGUGAAAGCCCGGGGCCCAACCCCGGGACUGCACUGGAAACUGCCGGGCUGGAGUGUCGGAGGGGCAGGCGGAAUUCCUGGUGUAGCGGUGAAAUGCGUAGAUAUCAGGAGGAACACCGGUGGCGAAGGCGGCCUGCUGGACUGCAACUGACGUUGAGGCCCGAAAGCGUGGGGAGCAAACAGGAUUAGAUACCCGCGUA
rnacentral:rRNA from 1 species